rnacentral:sRNA from 1 species
UGCUAUCAUACGAAAUACAGGCGGGCGCAAUACUGUAGACAGCGAAAUUGCAUUAAGUGCAAGCUGACUAGCAGGAACACCUAUAAGAUGCGCAACAAACUUAGCAGUGAGAAGAUCCGCUAAUUGGAUUUAGAGAGAAGAGUCGGGACAUCGUCCGGUCAUUUUCUCCAUACUUGUCUAAGCUAAUAUAACUUUUAAUUAAAUUCUUGAACUUAUAUCUAUAAUUCUUUUCAUUUUAUCACCUUUAUUUCAGUCUAAAAAGUUAAAUUAAACCGCAAGUGCAAUUUAGGAGAGAUUGUGCAGCUGUGCGUUUAUACGUUUAUCGGGAUGCAUAAAUCAAAACAAAAGAACUAUCGCAA